UACGAACGGUGCAAGCGUUGUCCGGAAUUAUUGGGCGUAAAGAGCUCGUAGGCGGUCUGUUGCGUCGGCUGUGAAAACCCGGGGCUCAACCCCGGGCCUGCAGCCGAUACGGGCAGACUAGAGUUCGGCAGGGGAGACUGGAAUUCCUGGUGUAGCGGUGAAAUGCGCAGAUAUCAGGAGGAACACCGGUGGCGAAGGCGGGUCUCUGGGCCGAUACUGACGCUGAGGAGCGAAAGCGUGGGGAGCGAACAGG
rnacentral:rRNA from 1 species